rnacentral:ncRNA from 2 species
GCUAAGAUGUCGUGCGUUGGUGCUCGCGUGGCGGUUCACGCCUCGCAGUUAAACGGGAAACAGGAAGAGACAUGCCUGCGGCAAACGCUCCAGCCUGUGCUGCCCCCGCAACGGUCAGCGACCGAAGGCUCUGCCUUCUGUUCGGACGCUUCAUCCACUGAAUCCGCGGAUUUGGGAAGGAUGUCCGGAUCGCGUCGCCAGCCCGGAUACCGGCCAACGACGAGGGAACGCG